GGAGAGCUGUCCGAGUGGUCGAAGGAGCACGAUUGGAAAUCGUGUAUACGUUAACAGCGUAUCGAGGGUUCGAAUCCCUCGCUCUCCG
rnacentral:tRNA from 1 species